AUGGCCACCUGCCUCUCUGAUCUAAUUAGUGACCAUUCCCUCGACUUUUUAGGUUUACAGGAGACCAUGAAAAAAAAAAUCUCCUCUAAAUGCUUGAGGAAGAUUGACCCUUUUAAUAUUUUUGAGUGGGUCUGGAUCCCCUCAAAUGGCAAGUCUGGUGGGAUUUUGGCUGGGGCCAGAAAAGGAAUUUUAGACCUUGAACAUAGCAAUACUGGUAGAUAUAUGAUCCAACUUGAUUUGAAGAAUAUCAAAAAGAAGAGUACUUGGAGUCUGUUGGUGGUGUAUGGGCCAGCUCAUGAAGAUAAGAGGGAGGAGUUCCUGUCUGAACUUGCCCACUUCUGCUCUGUCAUGAAU
rnacentral:rRNA from 1 species